UACGUAGGGGGCAAGCGUUGUCCGGAUUUAUUGGGCGUAAAGAGCGUGUAGGCGGCCAUGCAGGUCCGUUGUGAAAACUCGAGGCUCAACCCCGGGCUUGCAGUGGAUACGGGCAGACUAGAGUUCGGUAGGGGAGACUGGAAUUCCUGGUGUAGCGGUGAAAUGCGCAGAUAUCAGGAGGAACACCGGUGGCGAAGGCGGGUCUCUGGGCCGAUACUGACGCUGAGGAGCGAAAGCGUGGGGAGCGAACAGG
rnacentral:rRNA from 1 species